CACAGAAGGAGGAGCUUCUGAACAUUCAAGACACCACAGAGGAGGGAGGGACUGCCUUGCAUGGGAGGGAGCUCCCCGUCACGAGAGGGAAGCAAACAAGGCAGCUGGAGGAGACCCUUCGUGGGACGGCUGCAGGGGACAGAUGGACGGACAGACGCUGCUCCAGGGCGCUGCAACUUCAGACCCCGUGCAGCACAGGACCUGGCCCCAGCACUUGCUGCCACGUCACCUCCCUGCUGCCUCUGUCAACACCCUGGGAUCACCCCUGUCUGCGUCUGCGGCUUCCUGAGGAACCUCCACGGGCGCCACAAGUCUUCGGGGCUUUUCAAGUUGGUUCACACCCAUCACUUCUGACUCCAUUGGCUCUGACUGGGUCUGGCAGGCAGCAGUGCUGUUCCCAUUUCACAGAUCGGUAAAUGAGACUCAGAGAACCAAGCCCAGGUCACACGGGUCAGCCUCCAAAGGACGUGAAGCCUUGCAGCUCAGUCCAUAGACAACUGACAGGUGAGAGACAGGUGAUUCACCAGGGGCGGGCACGGGGGAGGCCCACGCAUAAUCACCACUGUGGCUGUCAUCACCUGGGUAAAGGCUGGGUCUUACCUUCCGAGAUAAUCUUCAUAAACACUCCCCAAGGCUCACGCGUUGCUAAGUUUCCUCUUAUGAAGGAAAUGGCCCAGAAAAAUCUUCCUUCCCUCUAAUUAAUUCUGUAGUCUCAGAAAGCUGAGUCAUGACUUGGGUAUGCCUGACCAUGUUCCCUCCGCUCUGAGACGGCACAGCGACUGAACAGGUGAUGCAGAAGAGCUACGGUCUCCCCU